ACGGGAAAGUGACGCGUAGGUAACCUGCCCGGCGGCGGGGGGGGGGAUAGUAUACGAGGCUGCUCAAAUACCCAGAAUAUGUGCUUGUGAUUUGCUAAAAAGGGGCGGUUGCUUCUCUACCACAUGGACAUGGGUGGUAUUGCCUGUUUGUAGUUGGUUGGUUUCGGAGGGCCACGAUACAUGACCAACAUGAGACUGAGUCGCUGACACGGGGACUGGGACCCGGUGCACACCCCCACGGCCCGCAACGGUAGGGAAUAUUCCGUCAUGGUUGGAAGAGUGAGGUCCGACCGAGCCUCCCCCGGAAGAGAUUCUGCUAGUUUUGCUCUGUGGUGCUAUGGUAAAGGGGCGCUAGUGUAUAGUUUUAGAGUUCACCUACCUGACCAGACAGCCACGGAUAAGACGGGGCAACCACCGGCGGAAAUACGGGGGGCCAGAGCGUCCCCAAUACUUGUGCGGAGUGAUUGUAUGGCAGGCGAUCAGAGAGGCCUGAAAUUAAAUGAUUUGCCUUGUCAUUGGAUGGGCUCUGCUGACUGUUUGGAUUGAGAGUAAGAUGAGUGAGAAUGUUCAGUGAGAUGCGUAUGUGUUGCGUAGAUAUAUGGAGAAAAACCGACUGUCGAGAACGGCUCUCACUGUCGCGUCUCACUCUUGGGACUCGAGAGCGUGGGGCGCAAACAGUGAUGAUCC
rnacentral:rRNA from 1 species